rnacentral:misc_RNA from 1 species
GGACGUGCGCAUGUCUCACUCGCCAGCGGACAGCGCUGUCAAGAGCGGCAGUGGUGCCCGUGGCGGUGCGUGGGAAGUCAUCAUCGAUAAGGCCGUCUCCUUCGUCACGGAGUACCUCGCCUCCACCACACGCGAGUUCGACCCGGCAGCACCGCUCUCGCAGCACAUGCUUCACCUCAUUGACCGCGGAAGCCUGCGGGACAUCUUGGUGGAGCGAAACUACAACGAACUAUGUGGGUGCUUUGGGUGCAGCAACAAGCCACGGGGGCUGCUCGCUGCGGGCAGUGGCACGCUGUCCUUCGAGUGGGACUCCUCGCUAUCCUUAUCCGCAUCAAGCGCCGAGGGUGAUGAUACCACGGACGACGAGGCUGAUGGACGCAGCCAUGGCUCACACAGGCGCGGGCGAGGAGAGACGGCAGACGGCGCAGCGGCAGCGGCACGGUCCAUCAAAGAUCAGCCGGACGCAGAUGCUGAGGAGAUCGUCUACGAGGAGGACCUGUACACGGCAGAGUCUUUCCGACUCGCCCAGCGCCAACGCGCUAUGCUGAACCGCAUGCAGCGCAAGAAGCUGAUGCGCGAGCAGAGGGCGAUGCGAGCUGCCGCGACGUCGGAUGGUGCGGCUGCUGGUGCUGCUGUGCGACCAGCUCCGGUGGGCCCGGGCGGUACCGCACCGGUGUCCUCGCGCGUGUUGCGUAAUGGCUUGAUCGGCGCCAGUUUCCCGCAGCGCUUCUGUAGCCCCGAGUGCGAGGAAACGUACGAGUCGAGCAUUAUGCGGCGUGUGUCGCCGUACUUUGCUUACGACUACCCUUCUAUCCUCGGCGCCAUCACGAAUUUGUUUCCCAACUUGAGAGUGGCGGCGCUGCAGCAGCUCGCUGGCGCGGAGACAUCCUCUGCGGGGCUGGUGAAGCGUGUUCUGGAGACCCAGCAGCAGGAAGGCGGAGACGCACCGGCUAAUGCCUCUGCCUCUGUUUCUGCUGGUCCUGCUGGUGGUGCGCUGAAGCCGGUGCAUGUGGGGGUCUCUCUCGAAAGUAGCGAGCUCAUCCGCUGCAACCCGGGAAAGCGCGCGGCGAGAGUUGCGCACAAGGCACGCGGCGCCGACACGGCAGCGCAGGUGAAUGACGCGUCCUCGGCACCGCUCCUUCGCGAGGUGCUUGAGCAGAUGCAAGUGCUUCAGCACGUGUGGAGCAAUGAGGUGGGGCCGCGCUUAUCGGAGACGCGCCUCUCGCGAAUGGCGGAUGACGCCGCCACCGCGCCGUCUCCUACGAGUGCAGCCACUGCAGCGAGGCGCUUCGGGUCUGCACAGGGGCCGGCGUCGUUCCCGCCUCGGCCAGUCCUCCGCGGUUCGCUGCUGCUACUUGACUUCAUCAUGAACACGAGCUGCGCACAAACGCGUAGGCUCUUUCACGCGCACUAUGCACGUCAUCGUCCCGCGCUGCAGCGAUGCCUCACUGCAGCGGCCUCAUCACGCGAAACCAGGGCAAGCUCGCUCUUCUACAGCGUCUCUGCGGAUAUCGUUGCUGAGCUGGAGAAACGCAGCGUCGAGGCUUUGGCGGCGGCUGGCGCCGCUGAGGAAUCAGUCGGUGACACGGCUUUCGAUGUCGAGAAUGAGGGUCUUCGCGUAGACCCGCUGCUGCAGCAGCAGCGCCGCGAGCUGCUCGUCUCGCACAUCUUUUCCGAGGACGUGACAGCCACGCUGUCUCGUCUUCUCUUUGUGGACUACGCCGUCCUGUCCAACAUGUCGUGGUCGGGCGUGUGGUUCUCUGGUUUAUCUCUUCGCCUGCCUGCGGGGCAGCAGAGCAGCAACUGCUCGCUGUUGCGCAGUCUGCAGUUUCCAUUCGCCAUACCAGCGGUGCUGCUGCAGACUGCAGAGUCGACGCCGGAGGUGCUAGGGCUGGCCAUGAUUUUCUUGGUCGCCGCCGGCUGCUGCUCCGAGGGUGUGUGGCGCGGCUGCAUGCGGGAGGAAGUGGCCUUUGACGAGGUCGCAGAGGCGAUUGGGCUGACCCGCGACGACAUCGCCGCAGCGGUGGGGUCGCUGAUGUUGGGCGAGGAGGUAUGACGCACACGAGCGUCAGGCUGGUGUGUGGUGUGUGUAGACGCUUCUCCGCCUCCCCUUUCUCCUCGACCGGGACGCAGCCCCGCCGACGGCACCGCCAGUGUAUCCGCUGCCGCGCAGCUUUUCACGUUGUCUAACUUCUCUUGCCUCCCACAGCUGCGCUCUAACUGGCGAUUCAACUCGCAUGCACGCCAAUUGGCAAAGGUCUUCGUGCAGCGAUCAUACGAGGAGGCGCGGCGAGUGUACUUGUGCUUCGCGUGGUGCUCACAACCGCAGCUGCGGCCACCAUCGCGUCUGCCGGCCAAGGUGAGUCUGUCCCGUCUCUCUCUUCCUCUCUGCUUCGCUUGGCGCGACGUCGUGAGAAAUGGAGAGGCGAUAGUGGCGACAUUACGACAUGGCGCACAGCUGUUCAAUCCAUGCUCUUUCAUCCACCCCCUCCCCUCCCCCCGCCUCAG